AUUGAACGCUGGCGGCAUGCUUUACACAUGCAAGUCGAACGGUAACAGGCCGCAAGGUGCUGACGAGUGGCGAACGGGUGAGUAAUGCAUCGGAACGUUCCCAGUCGUGGGGGAUAACUACUCGAAAGAGUAGCUAAUACCGCAUACGAUCUAUGGAUGACAGCGGGGGACCGUAAGGCCUCGCGCGAUUGGAGCGGCCGAUGUCAGAUUAGGUAGUUGGUGGGGUAAAGGCUCACCAAGCCAACGAUCUGUAGCUGGUCUGAGAGGACGACCAGCCACACUGGGACUGAGACACGGCCCAGACUCCUACGGGAGGCAGCAGUGGGGAAUGUUGGACAAUGGGCGCAAGCCUGAUCCAGCAAUGCCGCGUGCAGGAAGAAGGCCUUCGGGUUGUAAACUGCUUUUGUACGGAACGAAACGGCUCUGGUUAAUACCCGGGGCUAAUGACGGUACCGGAAGAAUAAGCACCGGCUAACUACGUG
rnacentral:rRNA from 1 species